rnacentral:rRNA from 1 species
CAGGCCUAACACAUGCAAGUCGAACGAAGGCUUCUGCCAUAGUCGGACACGGGUGAGUAACGCGUGGAAUCCUGCCCUGGGGUACGGAAUAUCACCGGGAAAGUGGUGCUAAUAUCAUGUGUGUCCCCCGGGACAAAGAUUUCUCGCCAUGGGAUGGCCCUGCGUACGAUGACCUUGUUGGUGGGGUAAGUGCCUAUCGAUGCAUAGAUACAUAACGGGUCUGAGAGGAUGAUCACCCACACUGGGACUGAAAGAUGGCCCAUAAUCCUGGGGGAGGCAGCAGGGGGGAAUGUUGGACUAGGGGCGCAAGCCUGAUCCUAGGACGCCGUGUGAGUGAUUAAUGCCUUCGUGUUGUAAAGCUCUUUCGCGUGCGACGAUGAUGACGGACUCGUGAUAAGAAGGACCGGCUAUCUUCGUGCCAGCAGGCCGGGUAAU